rnacentral:rRNA from 1 species
UACGUAGGGGGCAAGCGUUGUCCGGAAUGAUUGGGCGUAAAGGGCGCGUAGGCGGCCAACUAAGUCUGGAGUGAAAGUCCUGCUUUUAAGGUGGGAAUUGCUUUGGAAACUGGAUGGCUUGAGUGCAGGAGAGGUUAGCGGAAUUCCCGGUGUAGCGGUGAAAUGCGUAGAGAUCGGGAGGAACACCAGUGGCGAAGGCGGCUAACUGGACUGUAACUGACGCUGAGGCGCGAAAGUGUGGGGAGCAAACAGG